AGGUGGUCACAAAGCCCCGAGCCGCUCAACUCCUUAUUGGACAGCUUGCAGCCAGACACACACCUCGAAGUCAGCAUUGUUGAGAUGGAGCUUUAGAAAAACAUCACCCAGAACGUUCCAAGGAAACUUAACCUCAGAAGAAUCGUGUCUGCUCAUUCCUCCUCUCCCAACGUGGAUAAUUUAGAGCUCUCCAGAGGGAGCCCUGAUCGCACCGAAGUGCAGAGGAGGGCGAGCUGGCCGUGUCCCAAGCAGCUGUGGCUGCACCUGCGGCGGAUAGCAGAAGGACAGGGGCCAGGAAUGGAAGCUAGGGGCUCUGGAUUCUACUUCUAGUUCACUGGGACCCAACUCCGUCCUCUGGGGACAAAUUUCCUUACCAGGAACUAAGCUUUGUUCUUCUUUCCAGCUUGCAAAGUCUAUAAAUGUCAGACUGGGUGUGGCCAAUCAUUUCAGUUGGUUGGACUCAUGAUAGAGAAGGGGAUGUUUUCAUCUGUUGGAGGUGGGAGGACGUGCUCUUCAGGCCUUUCAGAUGCUGCUUACAGAAGGAUGGCUGAAGGACAUUAGCCCCUCCAGAUCUAGCCUCAGAGUGACACCUCUACACAUACAAGAUUUACCCGCCUAUUAAUGUGCUGCCCUCGUUGUCUCGGUGAAUGAAGUCUGCUACUGGAGAAGGUAUGACCAGAAAGGAUCACGCCGAUGUAUCUAACCAGCUGGAUGCAUGCUAUGCUAUUGGUAAGGAUGUGCAGGCCAUGAAAGCCGUAGUUGGAGAAGAAGCCCUUACCUCAGAUGAUGUGCUUUACUUGGAAUUUCUGCAGAAGUUUGAGAGGAACUUCAUUGCUCAGGGUCCUUACGAAAACCGCACUGUCUAUGAGACUUUGGACAUUGGCUGGCAACUGCUCCGACUCUUCCCCAAAGAAAUGCUGAAGAGAAUCCCUCAGAGCACCUUGAGCGAACUCUACCCUCGAGAGUCUGCAAAGCAUUAGCUGCUACU